GACGAACGCUGGCGGCGUGCCUAAUACAUGCAAGUUGAGCGCUGAAGGUUGGUACUUGUACCAACUGGAUGAGCAGCGAACGGGUGAGUAACGCGUGGGGAAUCUGCCUUUGAGCGGGGGGCAACAUUUGGAAACGAAUGCUAAUACCGCAUAAAAACUUUAAACACAAGUUUUAAGUUUGAAAGAUGCAAUUGCAUCACUCAAAGAUGAUCCCGCGUUGUAUUAGCUAGUUGGUGAGGUAAAGGCUCACCAAGGCGAUGAUACAUAGCCGACCUGAGAGGGUGAUCGGCCACAUUGGGACUGGGACACGGCCCCAACUUCUACGGGAGGCAGCAGUAGGGAAACUUCGGCAAUGGACGAAAGUCUGACCGAGCAACGCCGCGGGAGUGAAGAAGGGUUUCGGAUCGUAAAACUCUGUUGGUAGGGAAGAACGUUGGUGAGAGUGGAAAGCUCAUCAAGUGACGGUAACUACCCAGAAAGGGACGGCUAACUACGUG
rnacentral:rRNA from 1 species